UAAAAUCAUGUUCAUUUCAGCUAGUACCUCCUCACUGGGUGGCAGUGCUGUGUGAGUUAUAUCCAAAAAGCAGCAACCUUGCUGGUCCAAAUCAUAUUUAAAAAUACUAAUCAUGGCCAGGCGUGGUGGCUCACUCCUGUAAUCCCAGCACUUUGGGAGGCUGAGGCGGGUGGAUCGCUUGAGGUCAGAAGUUUGAGACCAGCCUGGCCAACAUGGUGAAACCCCAUCUCUACUAAAAAAAAUACAAAUAUUAGCCAGGUGUGGUGGUGUGCACCUGUAAUCCCAGCUACUCUGGAGGUUGAGGCAGGAGAAUCACUUGAACACAGGAGGUGGAGG
rnacentral:lncRNA from 10 species